CAGGACGAACGCUGGCGGCGUGCCUAAUACAUGCAAGUCGAGCGAGCAGAACCAGCAGAUUUACUUCGGUAAUGACGCUGGGGACGCGAGCGGCGGAUGGGUGAGUAACACGUGGGGAACCUGCCCCAUAGUCUAGGAUACCACUUGGAAACAGGUGCUAAUACCGGAUAAUAAAGCAGAUCGCAUGAUCAGCUUAUAAAAGGCGGCGUAAGCUGUCGCUAUGGGAUGGCCCCGCGGUGCAUUAGCUAGUUGGUAAGGUAACGGCUUACCAAGGCAAUGAUGCAUAGCCGAGUUGAGAGACUGAACGGCCACAUUGGGACUGAGACACGGCCCAAACUCCUACGGGAGGCAGCAGUAGGGAAUCUUCCACAAUGGACGCAAGUCUGAUGGAGCAACGCCGCGUGAGUGAAGAAGGUUUUCGGAUCGUAAAGCUCUGUUGUUGGUGAAGAAGGAUAGAGGUAGUAACUGGCCUUUAUUUGACGGUAAUCAACCAGAAAGUCACGGCUAACUACGUGCCAGCAGCCGCGGUAAUACGUAGGUGGCAAGCGUUGUCCGGAUUUAUUGGGCGUAAAGCGAGCGCAGGCGGAAGAAUAAGUCUGAUGUGAAAGCCCUCGGCUUAACCGAGGAAUUGCAUCGGAAACUGUUUUUCUUGAGUGCAGAAGAGGAGAGUGGAACUCCAUGUGUAGCGGUGGAAUGCGUAGAUAUAUGGAAGAACACCAGUGGCGAAGGCGGCUCUCUGGUCUGCAACUGACGCUGAGGCUCGAAAGCAUGGGUAGCGAACAGGAUUAGAUACCCUGGUAGUCCAUGCCGUAAACGAUGAGUGCUAAGUGUUGGGAGGUUUCCGCCUCUCAGUGCUGCAGCUAACGCAUUAAGCACUCCGCCUGGGGAGUACGACCGCAAGGUUGAAACUCAAAGGAAUUGACGGGGGCCCGCACAAGCGGUGGAGCAUGUGGUUUAAUUCGAAGCAACGCGAAGAACCUUACCAGGUCUUGACAUCUAGUGCCAUCCUAAGAGAUUAGGAGUUCCCUUCGGGGACGCUAAGACAGGUGGUGCAUGGCUGUCGUCAGCUCGUGUCGUGAGAUGUUGGGUUAAGUCCCGCAACGAGCGCAACCCUUAUUAUUAGUUGCCAGCAUUAAGUUGGGCACUCUAAUGAGACUGCCGGUGACAAACCGGAGGAAGGUGGGGAUGACGUCAAGUCAUCAUGCCCCUUAUGACCUGGGCUACACACGUGCUACAAUGGGCAGUACAACGAGAAGCGAGCCUGCGAAGGCAAGCGAAUCUCUGAAAGCUGUUCUCAGUUCGGACUGCAGUCUGCAACUCGACUGCACGAAGCUGGAAUCGCUAGUAAUCGCGGAUCAGAACGCCGCGGUGAAUACGUUCCCGGGCCUUGUACACACCGCCCGUCACACCAUGGAAGUCUGCAAUGCCCAAAGCCGGUGGCCUAACCUUCGGGAAGGAGCCGUCUAAGGCAGGGCAGAUGACUGGGGUGAAGUCGUAACAGGAAACCCCUAAA
rnacentral:rRNA from 1 species